rnacentral:lncRNA from 1 species
UCCUCCUGGCUGCUCUCCUCUGUCACUGUGGAGAAACAGGAAGUAAUAUUUAUUAACAACACUGACUGGGGUCACACCCAAGGCAAUAUCAGAUUUUCACCUCUCCUGGGCCUGGGAAGAGGUUCAAGGAUCAAGGACAAACU